rnacentral:sRNA from 1 species
CAGGACAUGCUGCUGCAGACUAUGGCG